GAUCUCACGCGCUAACUGCUC
rnacentral:siRNA from 1 species